rnacentral:rRNA from 1 species
UACGUAGGGGGCUAGCGUUGCUCGGAAUCACUGGGCGUAAAGCGCACGUAGGCGGAUUGUUAAGUCAGGGGUGAAAUCCUGGAGCUCAACUCCAGAACUGCCUUUGAUACUGGCGAUCUCGAGUCCGGGAGAGGUGAGUGGAACUGCGAGUGUAGAGGUGAAAUUCGUAGAUAUUCGCAAGAACACCAGUGGCGAAGGCGACUCACUGGCCCGGUACUGACGCUGAGGUGCGAAAGCGUGGGGAGCAAACAGG